UCGUAGAGUUCUAUAUAUUUAUGUUUUUGAUUUUAUUGGCUUUAAUUGGAGAAAUUACUUUACUGAAGUUUAAAUGGCAUACUGUGAACAUGAAGAAGACGACUUUUAGAUUUGUCAAGUUCAGAUUUCCUCUGGUCGAUACCAAUGACGGACGGUGAUUUUAAUCCUGGCUGGUAAAUAUGAAGAAGACGGCUGUCGAAUUCUUUAACAUAACAACGCCUUUGCCUGAUUCUGAAGACGGUUAUUUUGAGAGUGGUUGGUUCGGAUCUGUUUUAAUUGUUGUGCUCUUUUUUAUUUGUUUCAAAUUUGGACGUGAUUUCAUCAGAAAAAUACGUGAGUUUAGGUUGAGACAUUGUGACUGCUCUUGUGAUCAGUGUCUGGAAUCAUGUACUUGUACAUGUUGUAUAGAUGUGAUUACGUCAAAAUGCUCUGCAGCUUGUGAACGUAUAAGAUUCUUUGUUAGAGGUAAUAACAAUGAAAGGACAAACACAGAACACGUAUCAACCCCGCCGGUUACACUUGAUGUUCCAUUCAAUCAAGCUACAAAUACAGACGAACACAUUAACAACAAUGUCCAAAAUUACCCAGUUAGUCCCGAACCACCCCCAUCCUACGAAACAGUUGUCUUUAACCAGUUUCAAUCACCUCCUAGUUACGAAGAAGUUAUGAGGUGAAUUGUUUUAAAUGAUUUAUUUCUUAUCAUUCUAAGAUUUGUACUGAUGUCCAAAAUUUUAAGUUUUGACGGCGCAACACGUAUGUGGAAUGUAUAAUACUAUAAUUAUAAUGAUAUAAAGCUAUCCAUAAUUUGGUCAUGAUAUCUAUAUUAACUAUUCCUCGCUUUCCAUACAUGUUACUGAUAUUCUUCAACUACUGGACACAUAAUUAUUGGUAACCAUUUUUUAUACUUCUGUUCCAAGUUAUGAUACCAGUUGUUCUUAUUUUUUCAUCAGUGCUUUAGGUAGAACAUAUUUAGUGAGGGUGACAAGAGUCUUUUAGGGGUGUAUCUUAACCAUCUUCAAGGUUUUGAUCUUGGCCUUUUGCCCAUAUGUUCAUAUAUAGUUAUAUAAAUAAAUUAAAUCAUUAAAGAUAAUUUAUUCAUUUAAAUCUUUAUCUGAAAUUGAACAAAUAAUGAAUAAAAUCAUCAAUUGUCAUGUUAUAUUUAUAAAUGCUUUUACCCCCAUCAUGUUUUAGAUGAAAUAUUAUGCGAGUUAAUGCAUAAGGGAAAGAUGGAAUGUAAAACAUAAGUGCAACGAAGUAUUUUUGAAAUGUAUAUAGUUUAUAAUUGACAGUAUGAAUAAAAUUUGUGAUUAUAAAAAGAGAUGAAAGUAAUAUUUUGGCAAUCAAGUUCCAAUUUUCUUCUUUUGGCGUGUUUAAGCGGAGUAGAACCCGCUCACUUUUUAUUUAUCUACAUGUAUUUUAUUUAUUUGUUUCAAUAUGUGCAGUUAUAUAGGAGAAAGUAUGUGGGCAAAAAUGUGCGGUUGAAUUUCUUUCAUAUUUGUAUGCUAGAACAAAACAUCAAAGUUUCAAAACAAUUGAAUUUGAGGAAAAUUUUGGUCUAUCUAUUGUGUACUAUCUUAAAUCAUUUGUUUCAGCAACAGCAAUAUAGGAAAAGGUAAAUAAAGGCAAUUUGAAUUCAAAUGAUAAAACGUUAAAAUAAAACACCCAUGUUCAAUAGAAAGUAUGUUUCCUUAUGAAUCAACACUUUAUUAUAAAUAAAGAUUAUAAAAAUGGAA